rnacentral:piRNA from 1 species
UACCCAGGAGCAAGAUGGUCAAGCUAUCA